UACGUAGGGUCCGAGCGUUGUCCGGAAUUACUGGGCGUAAAGAGCUCGUAGGUGGUUUGUCACGUUGUUCGUGAAAACCCACAGCUCAACUGUGGGCGUGCGAGCGAUACGGGCAGACUAGAGUACUGCAGGGGAGACUGGAAUUCCUGGUGUAGCGGUGAAAUGCGCAGAUAUCAGGAGGAACACCGGUGGCGAAGGCGGCUCUCUGGGCCUUACCUGACGCUGAGGAGCGAAAGCGUGGGUAGCGAACAGG
rnacentral:rRNA from 1 species